UUUAAUUUGAUGGGUGAAAAAAUAAAUGUUUUUGGAAGUCUUUAAGAAUUUCCAAAAAUCAUACUUUAAAAAACUUUCUAUCCUUCCAAACACAAUUUCAAGGUUUUGAAAAACUUUUCAUUACUUUAAAAAACCUCCUUCCAAUCCUUUUGCUAUCCUAAACACAACACCUCAUCAUUGCUCUUAAAACUCAAGUAGAGAUUCUCUUAAUUCCAACGGAGAUUUGAACUUUUUCAUUGUAAUUCCAAAGUGUCAGACUUCAAUUUUUGAUAAAUUGCUUAACUGUUGAUUUUGCUAGUUUAAUUUUGGUUGCUGUAAUUUUUUAAGUCAAAAUUUUAGAGUGAAUUUUUUGUUUCUACUUUGUUAGUAGAGAAUUGCAAUUUUGGAACAUCUAAAACAUGUGAAGUGUUGUGAAUUUCAAUUGCAAUUUUGUAUACUUUGAUUUGAAUAUGAAUUGUUAAUUUUGUACUUCGGAUUGUGAGCUAGGGAUCAAAGUUUGUGCAUUUCUUGAUUGAAUGAGA
rnacentral:misc_RNA from 1 species